CUAGCACUUUCACAGGUCCUCCCCUAGGCAGUGGGGUCAGGAUUUGGUAGCUGGUGCUGAGAGAAAACCCUUGAUUGCAUCCUUGCCCUGAUACUGUAUAACAGUGGCAACUGUCAGUCAGUGGAACAGAG
rnacentral:snoRNA from 1 species